AAUAGAACCUGAAACCGUGUACGUACAAGCAGUAGGAGCACCUUCGUGGUGUGACUGCGUACCUUUUGUAUAAUGGGUCAGCGACUUAUAUUCAGUGGCAAGGUUAACCGUAUAGGGGAGCCGUAGCGAAAGCGAGUCUUAACUGGGCGCUCAGUCUCUGGAUAUAGACCCGAAACCGGGUGAUCUAGCCAUGGGCAGGUUGAAGGUUGAGUAACAUCAACUGGAGGACCGAACCGACUAAUGUUGAAAAAUUAGCGGAUGACUUGUGGCUAGGGGUGAAAGGCCAAUCAAACUCGGAGAUAGCUGGUUCUCCCCGAAAGCUAUUUAGGUAGCGCCUCGGACGAAUACUACUGGGGGUAGAGCACUGUUAAGGCUAGGGGGUCAUCCCGACUUACCAACCCUUUGCAAACUCCGAAUACCAGUAAGUACUAUCCGGGAGACACACGGCGGGUGCUAACGUCCGUCGUGGAGAGGGAAACAACCCAGACCGCCAGCUAAGGUCCCAAAGUAUUGCUAAGUGGGAAACGAUGUGGGAAGGCUCAGACAGCUAGGAUGUUGGCUUAGAAGCAGCCAUCAUUUAAAGAAAGCGUAAUAGCUCACUAGUCGAGUCGGCCUGCGCGGAAGAUGUAACGGGGCUAAGCAAUACACCGAAGCUGCGGCAAUAUCUUUUAGAUAUUGGGUAGGGGAGCGUUCUGUAAGCCGUUGAAGGUGAAUCGUAAGGUUUGCUGGAGGUAUCAGAAGUGCGAAUGCUGACAUGAGUAACGACAAAGGGGGUGAAAAACCUCCUCGCCGGAAGACCAAGGGUUCCUGUCCAACGUUAAUCGGGGCAGGGUGAGUCGACCCCUAAGGUGAGGCCGAAAGGCGUAAUCGAUGGGAAACGGGUUAAUAUUCCCGUACUUCUGACUAUUGCGAUGGGGGGACGGAGAAGGCUAGGUGGGCCAGGCGACGGUUGUCCUGGUUCAAGUGCGUAGGCUUGAGAGUUAGGUAAAUCCGGCUCUCUUUAAGGCUGAGACACGACGUCGAGCUGCUACGGCAGUGAAGUCAUUGAUGCCAUGCUUCCAGGAAA
rnacentral:rRNA from 1 species